rnacentral:rRNA from 1 species
GAUCAUGGCCCAGGAUGAACGCUAGCUACAGGCUUAACACAUGCAAGUCGAGGGGAAACGACAUCGAAAGCUUGCUUUUGAUGGGCGUCGACCGGCGCACGGGUGAGUAACGCGUAUCCAACCUGCCCGUCACUUGGGAAUAACCUUGCGAAAGUAAGACUAAUACCCAAUGAUAUCCCACGAAGGCAUCCGAAUGGGAUUAAAGAUUUAUCGGUGAUGGAUGGGGAUGCGUCUGAUUAGCUUG